rnacentral:misc_RNA from 1 species
CAGAGUUGCAAAACUCCCACAAACCAUCGCGAAUCUUACCCGUACGGUUGCCUCGGCCUCGGCGCUGGCGGUCCGGAAGGCCCUCGGGCCCCCCCGGAUCCUCGGGUCUCCCGCUCGCGGGAGGCUGCCCGCCGGAGUGGCCGAAACCAAACUCUUGAUAUUUUAUGUCUCUCUGAGUAAACUUUUAAAUAAGUCA